UACAGAGGUGGCAGGCGUUGUUCGGAAUUACUGGGCGUAAAGCGCGUGUAGGCGGCUCUUCAAGUCAGGCGUGAAAGCCCCGGGCUCAACUCGGGAACUGCGCUUGAUACUGUCGAGCUAGAGUGUGGAAGGGGCGAUUGGAAUUCCGUGUGUAGCGGUGAAAUGCGUAGAUAUACGGAGGAACACCAGAGGCGAAGGCGGAUCGCUGGGCCAACACUGACGCUGAGACGCGAAAGCUAGGGUAGCAAACCGG
rnacentral:rRNA from 1 species